AUUUCUCCCAGUGUCCCAAUGUCUCAGUGUGUCCCCAUGUCACUAAGAUACUGGAGACACUGAGAGACAUGGGGACACUGAGAGACCCGGGGACACGGAGACAUGGGGACACUGGGAGACAUGGGGACACUGAGACAUGUAAGGAAACUGGGAGAAAUGGGGACACUGAGAUACUAGGGACACAGACACUGGGAGACAUGGGGACACUGAAACAUUAGGGGACACUAAGACACUAGGGACACAGACAUGGGAACACAGACACUGGGCGACUAGGGGACACUGGCUGGGAGACAGACCCUUGGGCACACUGGGAGACAUGGGGACAGUUGUGGACAUAGACUGGGACAUAUACGGACACUGGGAGGCAUGGGGACACCAGGCACACUGAGACACUAGGAACACAGACACUGGGAGACAUGGAGAUACUGAAACAUUUGGGGACACUAAAACACUAGGGACACAGAGACUGGGAGACUAGG